AAUCAACCGAGAUUCCCCCAGUAGCGGCGAGCGAACGGGGAGGAGCCCAGAGCCUGAAUCAGUGUGUGUGUUAGUGGAAGCGUCUGGAAAGGCGCGCGAUACAGGGUGACAGCCCCGUACACAAAAAUGCACAUAUUGUGAGCUCGAUGAGUAGGGCGGGACACGUGGUAUCCUGUCUGAAUAUGGGGGGACCAUCCUCCAAGGCUAAAUACUCCUGACUGACCGAUAGUGAACCAGUACCGUGAGGGAAAGGCGAAAAGAACCCCGGCGAGGGGAGUGAAAAAGAACCUGAAACCGUGUACGUACAAGCAGUGGGAGCCUCUUUAUGGGGUGACUGCGUACCUUUUGUAUAAUGGGUCAGCGACUUAUAUUCUGUAGCAAGGUUAACCGAAUAGGGGAGCCGAAGGGAAACCGAGUCUUAACUGGGCGUUAAGUUGCAGGGUAUAGACCCGAAACCCGGUGAUCUAGCCAUGGGCAGGUUGAAGGUUGGGUAACACUAACUGGAGGACCGAACCGACUAAUGUUGAAAAAUUAGCGGAUGACUUGUGGCUGGGGGUGAAAGGCCAAUCAAACCGGGAGAUAGCUGGUUCUCCCCGAAAGCUAUUUAGGUAGCGCCUCGUGAAUUCAUCUCCGGGGGUAGAGCACUGUUUCGGCAAGGGGGUCAUCCCGACUUACCAACCCGAUGCAAACUGCGAAUACCGGAGAAUGUUAUCACGGGAGACACACGGCGGGUGCUAACGUCCGUCGUGAAGAGGGAAACAACCCAGACCGCCAGCUAAGGUCCCAAAGUCAUGGUUAAGUGGGAAACGAUGUGGGAAGGCCCAGACAGCCAGGAUGUUGGCUUAGAAGCAGCCAUCAUUUAAAGAAAGCGUAAUAGCUCACUGGUCGAGUCGGCCUGCGCGGAAGAUGUAACGGGGCUAAACCAUGCACCGAAGCUGCGGCAGCGACACUAUGUGUUGUUGGGUAGGGGAGCGUUCUGUAAGCCUGUGAAGGUGGCCUGUGAGGGUUGCUGGAGGUAUCAGAAGUGCGAAUGCUGACAUAAGUAACGAUAAAGCGGGUGAAAAGCCCGCUCGCCGGAAGACCAAGGGUUCCUGUCCAACGUUAAUCGGGGCAGGGUGAGUCGACCCCUAAGGCGAGGCCGAAAGGCGUAGUCGAUGGGAAACAGGUUAAUAUUCCUGUACUUGGUGUUACUGCGAAGGGGGGACGGAGAAGGCUAUGUUGGCCGGGCGACGGUUGUCCCGGUUUAAGCGUGUAGGCUGGUUUUCCAGGCAAAUCCGGAAAACCAAGGCUGAGGCGUGAUGACGAGGCACUACGGUGCUGAAGCGACAAAUGCCCUGCUUCCAGGAAAAGCCUCUAAGCAUCAGGUAACAUCAAAUCGUACCCCAAACCGACACAGGUGGUCAGGUAGAGAAUACCAAGGCGCUUGAGAGAACUCGGGUGAAGGAACUAGGCAAAAUGGUGCCGUAACUUCGGGAGAAGGCACGCUGAUAUGUAGGUGAAGCGACUUGCUCGUGGAGCUGAAAUCAGUCGAAGAUACCAGCUGGCUGCAACUGUUUAUUAAAAACACAGCACUGUGCAAACACGAAAGUGGACGUAUACGGUGUGACGCCUGCCCGGUGCCGGAAGGUUAAUUGAUGGGGUUAGCGGUAACGCGAAGCUCUUGAUCGAAGCCCCGGUAAACGGCGGCCGUAACUAUAACGGUCCUAAGGUAGCGAAAUUCCUUGUCGGGUAAGUUCCGACCUGCACGAAUGGCGUAAUGAUGGCCAGGCUGUCUCCACCCGAGACUCAGUGAAAUUGAACUCGCUGUGAAGAUGCAGUGUACCCGCGGCAAGACGGAAAGACCCCGUGAACCUUUACUAUAGCUUGACACUGAACAUUGAGCCUUGAUGUGUAGGAUAGGUGGGAGGCUUUGAAGUGUGGACGCCAGUCUGCAUGGAGCCGACCUUGAAAUACCACCCUUUAAUGUUUGAUGUUCUAACGUUGGCCCGUAAUCCGGGUUGCGGACAGUGUCUGGUGGGUAGUUUGACUGGGGCGGUCUCCUCCUAAAGAGUAACGGAGGAGCACGAAGGUUGGCUAAUCCUGGUCGGACAUCAGGAGGUUAGUGCAAUGGCAUAAGCCAGCUUGACUGCGAGCGUGACGGCGCGAGCAGGUGCGAAAGCAGGUCAUAGUGAUCCGGUGGUUCUGAAUGGAAGGGCCAUCGCUCAACGGAUAAAAGGUACUCCGGGGAUAACAGGCUGAUACCGCCCAAGAGUUCAUAUCGACGGCGGUGUUUGGCACCUCGAUGUCGGCUCAUCACAUCCUGGGGCUGAAGUAGGUCCCAAGGGUAUGGCUGUUCGCCAUUUAAAGUGGUACGCGAGCUGGGUUUAGAACGUCGUGAGACAGUUCGGUCCCUAUCUGCCGUGGGCGCUGGAGAACUGAGGGGGGCUGCUCCUAGUACGAGAGGACCGGAGUGGACGCAUCACUGGUGUUCGGGUUGUCAUGCCAAUGGCACUGCCCGGUAGCUAAA
rnacentral:rRNA from 1 species